GUGCAAUGUAAGUGACAAUGUUACUUGCCGUCCCUCCAGGACAGCAGCCAACCAAUAUCAAGCCUGCUGCAUAAUGGGAUGGCAAAUUUAAUAGCUUGCUAACAAAAUAUCCCGAUAAAGGCAUCACCGAAUACUGAAGGAUGAAUCCGCAGAACAGCUCUUUAGGCAUCGCUAAAGCACCACGAAGGUCAUCGAAAGUAAGAGUCAUUCCCAUACCAAGCAUAGUGAGUGUAAUGCCCAUCACAGUCCAUUGAGGUUUGACCCAAUUGUACGAGCUAGGUUUAAGCAGCCCAAUCAAGCAACCCAAAGCUACCCACAAGGGAAACAAAACAGAAAUCGUUUCCCCAACACUUUGGAUCCAAUCCCCAAAGCUUUUAUUCUUGUUGUCAUCACCAUCAGCAGUAAUGGCAGUUGACGAAUUUGAACACAGAAGCUGUCCUCUGGAU
rnacentral:misc_RNA from 1 species